rnacentral:rRNA from 1 species
ACGGCUACCUUGUUACGACUUCACCCUAAUCAUCUGUCCCACCUUAGACGGCUGGCUCCAAAAGGUUACCCCACCGGCUUUGGGUGUUACAAACUCUCAUGGUGUGACGGGCGGUGUGUACAAGGCCCGGGAACGUAUUCACCGCGGCAUGCUGAUCCGCGAUUACUAGCGAUUCCGACUUCAUGUAGGCGAGUUGCAGCCUACAAUCCGAACUGAGAACGGCUUUAAGAGAUUUGCUAAACCUCGCGGUCUUGCGACUCGUUGUACCGUCCAUUGUAGCACGUGUGUAGCCCAGGUCAUAAGGGGCAUGAUGAUUUGACGUCAUCCCCACCUUCCUCCGGUUUGUCACCGGCAGUCUUGCUAGAGUGCCCAACUUAAUGCUGGCAACUAACAAUAAGGGUUGCGCUCGUUGCGGGACUUAACCCAACAUCUCACGACACGAGCUGACGACAACCAUGCACCACCUGUCAUUUUGUCCCCGAAGGGAAAGUCCUAUCUCUAGGAUUGGCCAAAGAUGUCAAGACCUGGUAAGGUUCUUCACGUUGCUUCGAAUUAAACCAC